rnacentral:misc_RNA from 1 species
GUUUGGUAAUUGAACAACCACAAGCCUCCAUCUUAGGCAAAUGAUUCUUGUCAUGUACAUCAUACAUGGGACCCAGGGCUGAAACUGCAUCGUGAGGGCGCAGUGAGGAGGACAAUUGGCAGGACAGACAAUCAUCCACAAGUUUCUUUACCGUAUUUACAUCUUUGCUUAAAGAUUGCAUUAUACUCUUCUGUUCAUUGAUGAAUCGCUUACGCUCCUUGAUGGCUAGCUCUAAAUUCCUAAGAGGAAAGGGAGUCCUGCAAGCAAAUAACUCCCCCACCUUGCGCUUUACGUCACUAAACGUCUGCUUAAACUCCGAAACCUUCUUCUCAAACUGUCUAUGGGAGUUGCUACAGUUCUCGACAGCUUUCCUCAGGUUUUCUUCCUUCACAAAAUCCACUAAACUCUUACGUGUAGUAUUCUGCAAAGCUGGAUGAAGUUUGAUAGACCUCAGUUUUUCUAAAUCCC